CACUUGUAUUGACUGAAUUUGCCCAUUUUUCUCCAGAAUGUCCUUCUAGUCUUACUGAUUUGCAAAAGCUCGUUGCAUACUGAGAAGAUAAACCCUUUGUGGCAGGACCCUUUCUGUCUCCCCUGGUGGCUGCAGCCCCACGCCAGCCUGGGUUCUGCUGGUCCCACAGUCAUGGAAGAAGGCAGUGAAGAGCUUGGUCCCUUGUAGGAGGGAACGUGUCAGGUCUCUGAAGCCUAAAUCAUGGGAAAGAACGGAGGGUUUGGAGACAGGAGAUUUUGUUUGGCAUCGGGCCCUGGUCCUUCCAGCCUUGUGACCUUGGGCCGGUCACCUGCCCCCUGCAAACUGAAGUGUUGUCACCCGGAGAGAGGGGAGCCAGAUCCAGCACAGAGCCCCACGGGUCGGCCAAACAGGAUCCUGUGACAGGUGUCCCUCGACCCUCCGGUGCCACGUGUGGGCUGAAACGAGAAUGCAAUCAGAGGAACCUGAUUGUCAUUGACAGGAGAAAAAGAUUUGUCUUCUGCUGCAGUUUGCAAAAACUUUGCUGUGCUGUGUCUGCAAAGGGAAAAAAAAAACGACCCUCUUGGUCUCACCGCAGGUUUGGCAUGAACAGGUACGGUGUCUGAAGG